AACGAACGCUGGCGGCAUGCCUAACACAUGCAAGUCGAACGAGACCUUCGUGUCUAGUGGCGCACGGGUGCGUAACGCGUGGGAACCUGCCCUUAGGUUCGGAAUAACUCCCCGAAAGGGGUGCUAAUACCGGAUAAUGUCUUCGGACCAAAGAUUUAUCGCCUUUGGAUGGGCCCGCGUUGGAUUAGCUAGUUGGUAGGGUAAAAGCCUACCAAGGCGACGAUCCAUAGCUGGUCUGAGAGGAUGAUCAGCCACACUGGGACUGAGACACGGCCCAGACUGCUACGGGAGGGAGCAGUGGGGAAUAUUGGACAAUGGGCGAAAGCCUGAUACAGCAAUGCCGCGUGAGUGAUGAAGGGCUUAGGGUUGUAAAGCUCUUUUACCCGGGAUGAUAAUGACAGUACCGGGAGAAUAAGCUCCGGCUAACUCCGUG
rnacentral:rRNA from 1 species